CUCGAUUUGAGCGGAUCGACAAAACGCCGAUCCCGGAGGGCAGGGAAGCGGCGGAAGCAGGCAGCAGUCGACAGGUCACUCGUCAACCUCGAGGAGCCGCGUCUCGUGACCGUGUUGGGCGCAAAAGUUAGUUGAGAGCCAGCGGCGUAAACAACAGCCCAUUUUCUCUUGAACAGGGACUUGCAGUGCAGCUGCCCAGGAUGGGAAUGAGCACAUGCCGACGGGAUACGACGUCUACGCCUGGUCUGCUGGUUUAACACUAUAUGAUCUAUGCCAUCACGAGCCGGGUGACGUAGUGUGAUGCUUCCCUGUCCUGGAUCACCGCCCGGAUCUCUACUGUAUUGCGCUCUGCUGCGCCGGCGCGGGGCCACGCGCUUGUCACCACUGGAGCUGGACUCAGGUUCAGCCAUUCGGGAGAUUUUGUCACUCACUCCGCUACAGCAACGAGGCACAGGUGCCUGCCACUGUUGGAACCUGGACGGAAACGUGACCGUGAUACUCACGCGAGUUCACUAAUCACCUUUCCGAUGUGAGGAUGUGCACGAUAAUAUUACUGCGUAGUAGUGCAUGCUGCUCCGUGAAUUUCUUCUGUGGACACGGCGCUCAUUCACCUUGCCGGUUGCAGUUACCACCAGGUUAUACCGCUUAGCGAUUGUCAUCGACGGCUGGCUCUCUGGCGUGGGGCAGUCAGAACUCCAUAGAACUGGUAAGGCUGACCCGCUCAAGGAAAGGACACGAGAGACAAGGCAGCAGCCGCAGAGUCCCAAGACAAAAGCAGACAAGCAUGCCGCUAUCAACGGCGUUGGGUGAGGCGUCCCCGAAGCCACUGCCUUCCCCAGUCGAACCACGUCGUUCAGAUGCUGGAUGGUUGGUUGGCUGCGGUGAUGCACGUGCUGCCGGAGGGCCCGAAAGCUGCCUGGGAGAGGCACGCUGGACGCCUCUACGCUGGUCAUCACAUGCAGUUCCAGUUAAUACUUUUUGGUUCGUCCUCAGUGACCAGACACCUCACAUCGACGGGGCUAUGUUCCGGUAGUGGAUUGUGUCAUGACUUUACAGAUGGAAGACAACCCGUUGGAUUUCUGUUCUCUUGAAAAGUGGGACAGUCUACCUAUUGAAUUCACACGUUCUGUUCUCGUGACGGUGACGCCGCUGUGGAGGCCAAAGUCCACUGAUACGACUUUCAGGAUGACCGUCUUGGACUCAGAAGAUUAUAUUGUGUCGUGGAAACGUGCCCUUGCAGAAAGAGGUUUGGGUUUUGAGGACGACAGCAGACAGCAGGAUGGCCAUGAUUGGUGGAACCAUGCAUCGAUGAGCUUGAUGUACAUUAUCCAUUCUUUAGUGAAUGCCCCUUGAUGGUGCCAGGAUCGACGGGAGCACAGGUAUAUCGACGGUUUACGCGCACGCGCUAUCAUCAGUCCCCUGCUGAGUUUUCCGCCAGUAACGCCCCAAAGUACUCUCCCUUAGGAGGUGAGGCGAAGUCGACAGGGCAUGCAAGUGAGGUCUUCUCCGCUUGGACAGAUGUUGACAGUUUCUGGUCCAUGUUGUCAAGCACAUUGAUAGCGCACACAUGGCCUUUAUCGCUGAUCCGAAUCUCUCGUUUUUCUCUAUCUCCAUCCAUUCUUUCACAGUCGAUGGCCUGCGCAGUUGCACAAUUUCCCCUUUCCUGUACUGGAAGCAUAAUGAAAGGAAUGGAUGAAAACAAGGGCUCAUGCAUACGCUUGCUUGGCCUCCCCUACACGGAAGAUGCACACGGUCUAACGAAUCAACCGAACCACAGAAGCCUUCAGUUGAAUCUCCUGGCCGGGCCCGAAAGUGAUGCUGCCUGCGUGCUGACCGACAUUAUAUACCGGGGAACGACUAAAAUCAUCAGGUUCGCUUCAUGAUGAAGUUGCGAGGAUCCACGGGUUCGGCAUGGUGUUUUCAAACAAUGCCAGAACUGAGACAGAACAAGGUAACUCUUCUGCUCUGCUCAUCACUUCACGCAACCGGAUCCCGACAACUGCGGUACAUGGAUUCUACCACUGAAACACAGAACGCCCACCGCCAACUAUAUCCAGUGGAAGGUGCACACUCACGUGGAGUGUCGCCGGGCAAACAGUGACCAGCGCCGCGGCCCGAUAGCUGCCUCUACGGCUCUUUUGCGGAGAGGCUUAUAAAUGCAAGGUUGCGCCACUUCACUGCACGAUGUGUUUCGUGCGUCUGUUCCGUGAGUGAGAUAUUCGUUCAUUCGAGAGAGGCCUUCGAGACUAUAUUUGCUGCCCACAAAGAGGGCAGGAGGAGCAAUCGGGACGAAUGGCACCACCAUAUGGAGUAGGAUGAAAGUGUACAAGCAGAAGCGGGACAACGUCGGCACUGUCAUACUUCCUCACUCGGAUUGCCAUGUGGCCGAAUAAUUGUGUGACAAUGCAGGCGAUUUACUAACAGAUACUCUCAUGCUGUUACCUUGCCCACCCGAUCAAGCUCUCGAGUUUUUCCGAACAUAUGUGGGAUUCAUGCCCCGAUUAGGCCCUCUCAGGAACGUCAAGGGGAAAGAUCCACGUUCCCCCCCAUCGGCGACCGACGGUAAAAGAAGACGUACGGUCUUCCUUUGUAUCUCGACCCCUCUUCAUGCGAACAAGGUGUUGAUUCGAACGUUGCUUACCCGGCGCAGGAUUACAUGUAUCUGUGGCUCUGACAAUGUCUCGUUCUAACCGUGACUCCGCCAAUAUUGGACCGCGCGAACGGCGGAGUCCCAGCCAAAAUUGAACACGAGUCAUGGCGUGCGAAGAAGCGAUUGCAUUCCCGGUGGAGCUUAUCUUGCUGUUGAGUAACUGAACGUAACAAGAGCUGCCACCGUUGCCCGGUUAACGAACGGAUGCUACGUUUCCGUGACGCAAUUUUCCCCAUCCAGCCUUAUUCAAACCAAGCUCAGCCCCGAUUCCUAAAGCAGCUCUUACAUGUCAACCCCACGGAAAGAAAGACGCUGUACGAAACCAC
rnacentral:lncRNA from 1 species